rnacentral:tRNA from 1 species
AUAGGGGUGUCGCCAAGCGGUAAGGCACAGGGUUUUGAUCCCUGCAUACCUAGGUUCGAAUCCUAGCACCCC